rnacentral:rRNA from 1 species
AGCCCUAGCACAGGUGCUGCAUGGCCGUCGUCAGCUCGUGCCGUGAGGUGUUCGGGUUAAGUCCCGCAACGAGCGCAACCCCGCCGUUAGUUGCCAGCGGUUCGGCCGGGCACUCUAACGGGACUGCCCGCGAAAAGCGGGAGGAAGGAGGGGACGACGUCUGGUCAGCAUGGCCCUUACGGCCUGGGCGACACACGUGCUACAAUGCCCACUACAAAGCGAUGCCACCCGGCAACGGGGAGCUAAUCGCAAAAAGGUGGGCCCAGUUCGGAUUGGGGUCUGCAACCCGACCCCAUGAAGCCGGAAUCGCUAGUAAUCGCGGAUCAGCCAUGCCGCGGUGAAUACGUUCCCGGGCCUU